rnacentral:rRNA from 1 species
UACGUAGGGUGCGAGCGUUGUCCGGAAUUAUUGGGCGUAAAGGGCUCGUAGGCGGUUUGUCGCGUCGGGAGUGAAAACUCAGGGCUUAACCCUGAGCCUGCUUCCGAUACGGGCAGACUAGAGGUAUGCAGGGGAGAACGGAAUUCCUGGUGUAGCGGUGAAAUGCGCAGAUAUCGGGAGGAACACCGGUGGCGAAGGCGGUUCUCUGGGCCUGUACUGACGCUGAGGAGCGAAAGCGUGGGGAGCGAACAGG